rnacentral:pre_miRNA from 1 species
UUAAUACUCCCUCCGUCCUAAAAUUCUUGUCUUAGAUUUGUCCAAAUACGGAUGUAUCAAGUCAUGUUUUAGUAUUAGGUACAUCCGUAUCUAGACAAAUCUAAGACAAAAAUUUUGGGACGGAGGGAGUAAUAU